AUCACUUCUCGGCCUUGUGGGUAAGAUCAAGUGUAGUAGCUGUUCUUAUCAGUUUAGUAUCUGAUAUGUCCUGUAUCUGAGGACAAUAUAUUAAAUGGAUUUUUGAAAUUAGGAGAUGGAAUAGGAGCUUGCUUUGUCCACUCCACCCAUUGACCUGGUAUUACAGUACUUCUAGGAAUGAUGCGUGUGCG